rnacentral:rRNA from 1 species
AUUGAACGCUGGCGGCAGGCCUAACAAAUGCAAGUCGAACGAGUGGCGGACGGGUGAGUAAUGUAUGGGGAACUGCCCGAUAGAGGGGGAUAACUACUGACAACGGUAGCUAAUCCCGCAUACUAUCGGAUGUACCCAUAUGGGAUUAGCUUGUAGGUGGGGUAACGGCUCACCUAGGCGACGAUCCCUAGCUGGUCUGAGAGGAUGAUCAGCCACACUGGUACUGAGACACGGCCCAGACUCCUACUGGAGGCAGCAGUGGGGAAUAUUGCACAAUGGGCGCAAGCCUGAUGCAGCCAUGCCGCGUGUAUGAAGAAGGCCUUAGGGUUGUAAAGUACUUUCAGCGGGGAGGCGUUACCCGCAGAAGAAGCACCGGCUAACUCCGUGCCAGCAGCCGCGGUAAUAC